GUCUGUCCCUCACUUCCCACUGAGCGCCGAGGACCGAAACCCGGUAAUUACUCACUACAAGCGGCUCUGCAUCGGUGAAGCUGGAAUACAGGGAAAGGGGGAGCGGGAAGAGGGAGCAGCGAUUCCCCUCACCUACAGGUUAAGUUCCCAGUAUGUUAACCAACCCAGGACUGAAGAAACUACUCAGAAACAUACCUUGGAGCCUUAGUCAUAAAGAAGUUGCUUUCUUAUAAAGGCAAAACAGGUCUGUGGUAAUGUUGCCACUUUUUAUAAAGCAUAAAGCGUCAAAAGCAGAGGAUUCUUUGAUCCUUCAGUGAAGAUUCCAGAAUGCCAUGAUGGCUGCUUGUAGUACCCCUAGGAUUUUGAUCCACAUAAAUUCGGUCUGUACUUUCAGUUUUGCUUCCUGAAGUGACCGUAAUCAGCACAGGUCAAGAGCAGAAAAAUCUGUUGGAGCGAACGGCUAAAGCUUUCUCAGUCGACUGCAUGGAAGAAAAAAUUUGGCCAGAAGCUGACACCACUUCUCAACAAGAUUAGGAGCAACCUUUAAUCUCAUUUUUUGUUAUUCCUGGUUCCUAUUCAUAUAUACAAUGAAGGACAACAGUUUUGUAUUACCCACCAUGUAGUCUGUGGGAUGCUCAGGAUAAAGGAUUUUGUGCAUAAUGGUUUUCAUCUUUUUACUUCUUAAAUAGUAGAGCUUAUUUUACGGCAUUCUUUCUCAUACUCACUAGGCUUCCGCUCAUCCCAUUAACUGUUUCUAGUAAACAAAUUAUCUGAGCAUUUUGUUAUGCCCCAAAAAUGCAUAUGUUUGUAUCAUAUGUAUUAGCCAAAUGUUCCAAAAACCCCAAUGCAGCAGAACAGAUAAUUGUAAAAGGCUUCUCACCAGGAGAUUAUUCAGAAGAAAUCAAACCUGACCCUGGUAAGUUUUGAGGCUUCUUAAUUAUCUUUAGUAGGCAUACAAGAUGAAUUCAGAUUAAGACUUUGACCUGUCUUUGAUAUAAAGACCAACAACAGCAGACAGCAAAGUAGGAAUGGUGGCAGAUUUAAUUAUGGAUUUUACCCACAUUUAGCAGGCCAGCAGGGCAUUAAAUCAUGCUGUAGGGCUUACUGCAGGACUGAAGCUGUACACAGGGUGAUCUGAAUACAGGGAACCAAAAUCUCCUUCCCCUUAUACUGACUAUACUUCUACUGCUUUCAAUGGAGAUGCAUUAUAAAAAAAUUAGCCUUAAGUUUCGUAGUUCCUGUUGAUGAGAUUCAUCUGCAGGAUUAGCUAAUGAUCUUUUAGUGGUGAUUUUAAUUUUAAUAUCAAGUGAUGAUUCCUCCUGUGAAGAAGCUGGCUUAAAUGCCAGGGGAAAAAAAUGCAUCCUGACAUAGUUUUGUGAAGCAAUAAUUUUUAGGUGUUUUAAGUUAGGAAAUGAAACAAAGAAUGUCUCAGUCUUCCCUUUGGCUGUCCCAUGCUCUCCACUGUUUUGUGGAAAAGAGGAAAAAAAAAUCAGGUGAUUAAAAUCCUUUUCAAUCUGCUCUUUCAGAGACUCUUAUCUUCCUCAGUUUUUUUCAUUACAAGAGCUGAUGAACUGUAGGAGAUUGGUCAGAGAGAAAAUUGUGCACAUAGCCUUACCAUCUGCCUUUUAGUUAAUCUUCCAAAAUGCACUCCAUCUGAGUGCUAACUGUAGUGAGUGUAAUGGAAUAUAAGGUUAAAUUGAGAAACAAAUCCUGUCUACAGGCCAGUCAAUAACUGAAUAGUUAGACAAUUCCAAACCCCUGCCACUUUAAUGUAAUUGAAGUGUAUGGAAAAGACAUCCUUUUUCAGCAACUACCAGAAGCAGCUUCCAUUACAGGUGAUAGCACUCUGAAUAUGUUUAGGCCAUACUGGUGUAAAAAGGGGAAAGGAGUGGGAAUGGACAGUCGUCCUGUCUUUAAAAUCUGUCUUGAGGGGUUUUGUUUUAAAGAGAUUACAGUUUACUGUGUGUAUUGGUUUUGGGACACACAUGAAAGCGCUUAAUACGUUUGAAGAUUUUUAUGGUCUGUCUAAAACUAGUGAGAUUUAACACUUUUGAGGGUAGUUAUGAGGAGUCUCUCUAGCAGUUCAUCACCUGUGUCCUGUCCAGAUGAACAACAGAGUAAUAUUUCCAGAGUCAUAUUAUGCAAAACAUCAUGGGAAGGACAUAACAAGCAAAAAUAUAUGAACAGUGAAAUUAAUUUUUAAUAAUCACCCUUAAUAGUGUUCAUUCAGUUGUACCGAUCAAAGAUUUCUUUCUGAGAACAAUUUCCUGUAGGCUGUAUUUGCUUAUUACUCAUUUGCUUAUUACUCAUUAUUAUAUUAAUAAGUGGGAAAAUUCAUUAGGAGAGAGCCUAGGAAUGACUUCCUGCAUUUCCUCUGGCUUUCAGAGGCAAGAAGCAAUUUUGCCUGUUUGAGUGUCAUUCAACUGCAGCAAAGGACAGCACCGGGAGAACCAGCUCAGGGCAAUGCACCCAACUAAUCUGUGUCGCCACUACAGGGGCUGAUGGAUCUUUACAUAAAAAAGCUGAGUUCUAUUUGUAUCUCUUUUGAAAAGCUCGUUAUUUUAUGGGUGUGUAUAGCUGGAUGGGUUUUGAAAUGUCCUGCUGACAAAAACAUCCAAAUUAUCCCAGUGGAGCUAACUGAAUAUUUACUUCUUUUCUCCCUUUAGGGGAUCCAACUACAUCAGACAGCAUUGCAAAGCUGGGCUACUGUUCUCAAUGUCCUUUCGGCUAUAGAUAUAGGCAGCAUAAUUGUAAAGUGAUAGUGGAGAUUUCUUUGCUUGAUAGGGAUUUUUUAGUUUUAAUUCUGCCCCUUCCGUUUUUUAGAAUCUGACAAUGGAAAUUUCAGAUUCACGUCUAACAGGGAAGAGGGCACAUCUAAUUAUUUGGAAGAGGGCACUCUGUCCAUUUAUGAGUUUCCUUAAACAUGAAUUCAGAAGUAGAUUUUUGACUGUGAUAAACACUUAUACAGCUUUAAUGGUUACCUAGUAUUUGGUUAUUCUGGGAGGAGAAAUGCCUUGCAUUGACUGUCUGCUGAUCACGAGCAACCUUCUGAAAGACUGGCUUAGCCCAGCAGAAGCAGUUUCCAUCUGAGGAAAAGAUGACUCUUAUUCUGUCCUCUUCUAUCAUGACAUGGUAAUUUACCUUCUCUGUGUUUAAUUUCUCCACAUGCAAAGAGGGAUAAAGCUGUUUAUCAGCCAGUAAAAUGCACAGCUGAGGUAGUUUCUAUGGAUUGUUAAUGCACAGGUAUGCUAAAAUUGUAGCUUUAAUUACAUUACUAAUUGCAAAUAGGGAAGUUUCCUAGAGCCUUUAUCAAAUAGAGACAUAGUAAAUGGGACUGUGGUUUUGUAAGCCAUGGCAACUUGUCAUAAAAUCUUUUCUCCUGCCUGAUUUUAUGUCUGAAAAAGGCUGUUGAAACCAGCAGGUGUUUUACUUACUGCUGCUUACACAGAUAUUUCCAUGAGAUUUAAUGUAUUUCACAAAUUUAUGAGUAUUCAUGAAUAAAACUUCACUACUAC